rnacentral:rRNA from 1 species
CCUACGUGAGGCAGCAGUGGGGGAUAUUGCACAAUGGGCGAAAGCCUGAUGCAGCAACGCCGCGUGAAGGAAGAAGGGUUUCGGCUCGUAAACUUCUAUCAACAGGGACGAAAGAAAUGACGGUACCUGAAUAAGAAGCCCCGGCUAACUACGUGCCAGCUGACGCGGUAAUACGUAGGGGGUAAGCGUUAUCCGGACUUACUGAGUGUAAAGGUUGAGUAGGAGGCAUGGUAAGCCAGAGGUGAAAGCCUUGGGCUUAACCCGAGGAUUGCAUUUGGAACUAUCAAGCUAGAGUACAGGAGAGGAAAGCGGAAUUCCUAGUGUAGCGGGGAAAGGCGUAGAUAUUAGGAAGAACACCAGUGGCGAAGGCGGCUUUCUGGACUGAAACUGACGCUGAGGCACGAAAGCGUGGGGAGCGAACAGGAUUAGAUACCCGGGUAGUC